rnacentral:lncRNA from 1 species
UGGAAGUCUGCAGACAUAAUGAACAUUUAAGAGGAUACAGAAUGAACAGCUGCUGCUAAAUAAGGCCACAAGUGAGGUUCAGCUUUGCCAGCUCAAUUUCAAGGAACAGGCAGCUUUUCCUGAGCACA